AGGUGAACUUGUCACCCACUUUCUGACCACUGACGUGGACAGCUUGUCCUACCUGAAGAAGGUCUCUGUGGAGGGCCAUCUGUACAAUGGCUUCAACCUCAUAGCAGCCGACCUGAGCACAGCAAAGGGAGACGUCAUUUGCUACUAUGGGAACCGAGGGGAGCCUGAUCCUAUCGUUUUGACGCCAGGCACCUACGGGCUGAGCAACGCGCUGCUGGAGACUCCCUGGAGGAAGCUGUGCUUUGGGAAGCAGCUCUUCCUGGAGGCUGUGGAACGGAGCCAGGCGCUGCCCAAGGAUGUGCUCAUCGCCAGCCUCCUGGAUGUGCUCAACAAUGAAGAGGCGUGAGUGGGCGGGUCCUGCUGGGGCAGCUGCCAGACCCGGCCAUCGAGGACCAGGGCGGGGAGUACGUGCAGCCCAUGCUGAGCAAGUACGCGGCUGUGUGCGUGCGCUGCCCUGGCUACGGCACCAGAACCAACACUAUCAUCCUGGUAGAUGCGGACGGCCACGUGACCUUCACUGAGCGUAGCAUGAUGGACAAGGACCUCUCCCACUGGGAGACCAGAACCUAUGAGUUCACACUGCAGAGCUAACCCCACCUCUGGGCCUGGCCAGUGGGCUCCUGGGGGGCCCUGCCUUGAGGGGCACUGUGGACAGGAAACCUUCCUUUGCCAUACUGCAUUGCACUGCCCGUGGCUUGGCCAGCAUCCCCCGGAUCAGGGCCCUGUGGUUUGUGUGUUACCCAUCUGUGUCCCCAUGCCCAGUUCAGGGUCUGCCUUUAUGCCAGUGAGGAGCAGCAGAGUCUGAUACUAGGUCUAGGACCGGCCGAGGUAUACCAUGAACAUGUGGAUACACCUGAGCCCACUCUUGCACAUGUACACAGGCACUCA
rnacentral:sRNA from 1 species